GAUUGAGAUCUUCCCUGUCGUUUAGAAGAGGGUGCUGGGAGUGCUGUGAGCAGAGAGGAAAAACAGAAUCAAGCGGAGGGCAAUAGAAUUCCAGAGCUGAUACGUCUAAGCCACUGAGAUAUUGUUAAUUGGCGAAGACAGAUGCAGAGAGGAGCUCAGACAGAAGGAGCUGAGAUUUUCUAUUCCUCAUCUGAAGGUGCCUGGGUUCCAGGAGAUCCACCCCGGAAACCUGGCCAAUUAGCUGUCGAUGUCGCUCAAGAUCAAAACACCACCUAUAAAGAAACUAAUGCUGAGAGAAGUUAAAUAAUAUGCUCAAGGACAUACAAGUUAUAUGGCAGAGCUGGGAUUCCCUUCAGUAAUUCAACUUUAUGUCCUAAACCUUAAUCAUUAUGUUCCUGGAUACACAGUACUUCCUAACACAGGUAAGUGGAAUCCCUAUUUGCAAGUAACCCUAAGAACAUACCAAGCUAGGGAUCCAGAGGGGUCUGUGGAAGUGCUGACUGUUAGAAAGUGAAGCAUAUACCAUCCUGGGAUAGAUACAGUCCUCUGGUUUAAAGGGAUAGGAGAAGCAAACUGAGACAGACUUCAGCAUCAGUGGUGGCUGGGCACAGAUGCAUGGUUAGAAGGACUAGGAAUGGUAUCUUCCCAGUGGUCCAUAAUUGAGUUUUGCAUCCUACUGUUGAACCCAUUUUGAAGAAAGUAUGUAGUGAUGGUCUUUGAGCCUAAACUUUCUCGCUCUCUGCUUAGCCAGACAGGCAUCAUUCAUCAUGUUAGUGCUCACAUCCAAUAUUGGUAUCAACUGAGUAGUAAAAUAGUAAUCAUUUUUUUUGUUUGAUAGGUGAGUUUAAACAAGUAUUUUUAUUUCAUCUGUAGGAAACUAUAAUGAAAUGGAACUAGCCUUCCAAAUGCAGGUUGCACUAUGUAAUUAGGUAGAUAAACAUGGCUAUAGAAGUUAGAACUGCAUGAACUUUUAACAAAGAGCAAAGAGAGUAUUAUAGUCAUUUAUUGGUGAGGAUGUAAUUCUUACCAUGGUCAAAGGAACAACGUUUUCUUGAUGAUAGCUUUACCUCUAGCUUUAGUAAAUACGUGACUUUGUAUACUGCCCUGAGUGUGUUUUCAGUUGAAGAUAGUUAUCAUUCAUUUUCACUUUCAACAUCAGAAGAAGUCACGGAUGUAAACCUCUUGCUCAUUUAAGUUUUCUUAAGUAGUGCCUUGAUUUCAAGUGGAAAAGAAACAAAAUUUAUGGUACAAAACAGAAGCCUGACUCUAAUGUUUUAUACACAAGGUUUGGGUCUUUCUUUGAAGUGAAGGAGAGUCUGAAAAAUAAUGUGAUCCUUUUCUAUGCUGUAUCUCCUCCAGUCUUUUUAGUGGAAGUUGUAGUUUAGUGAAAGUUGAGUUGUAGUGUCCACUCAAGCCAAGUUUCUCCUAGGUAUUUCUUCCCCCUUGAGUGCUCUAGUCAUCCUGUCAAUCAUUUUAUGUGUUUUAAUGUGUUUUAUGUAGUUGGCAUGUGCUUCAAAGGUAGCUAUGAAAAUGAUGGUGCUGUAAUACCCUUGCACAAAUAUCUUUAAGCAUUAGCAAGUAGGCCUGUGGGCGAGAAACCGAAAGGCAGGACUACUGCGCCAAAGUGUACAUGCAUUCGAAUGCAAUGAACAUUAGGAAAUUAUAUUGCAAAAUGUUUUGUUUUCUCUCUUACAUGGAGGGCAUGAAAGUGUCCAUUUUCCGGUAUUUUUGUCAUCAUCAGAUAUUAUUAUUUUUAAAUUUUUGUACAGCUGAUGGGUGAAAACUGUCAUCUUAGUGUUGCUUUAAUUUUUUCCAGUUCCUCAGUCACCACAAAGUUGAAUAUCCUUUAGUAUUUAUUAGUGACUUGCUCUCUUCUUUUUUUGAACUAUCGGUUCAAAUCCUUUGUGUAUUUUUCUAGUGGUUCUAAUGUGUUGUUCUUAGAGUUGUAAGAGCUAUUAAUGAGUAUUGAUUUUUUUUGGUAAAUAUUUUCCUCCACUUGUUCCUUGUUUAUUGAAGAUCCUUAUGAUGUCUUUCAAAGUAUCUGAGUUGAAAUAUUUAGUUAGUAAAAUCAACUGACAUUUGUAUAUAUGUCCUUUGAGUUUUNNNNNNNNNNNNNNNUAUAUAUCCUAUAGUUUUUUCUAGUGCUUUGUGUUCACAACUCAAGCCAUAAUUUAUUAAUGAUCUUAACAUCUAUUUCCUUCUAACGCCUUUUGAAGCUUCUCUUAUUCAUUUGAGUCUUUCAUUUGUAUAUAUAAUGAAAUAUAUAGCUAAGUUUUUCAAUGGAUAUCUAAUAUUUCCAACUGCGUUUUAAGCAGCACAUAAUUUUACCUCUAAAUUGAAGUAUCAUCUUUAUCACAUAUAAAUUCUUAUGUAUGUUCAUUUCCAGACUUUUAUAUUCUGUUCCAAUUUAUUUGUUUGUUCCUGACAGUCACCCCAUUGUUUUAAUAAGUGUAACUUUAUAUUUUGAACUUGGUACGCUGAGUCUUGUGGGGUUUUUUGAUGCAGAAUUUUUUGGCUAUUCUUGGAAGGUACUCUUUUUGUUAACUUUAGGAACAGCUAGUAAAUAUCCUUUCGAAAAAUCUCAGUGGAGUUUUGAUUGAAACCAUGUAGUAUAUAUAGAUCUACUAGAGAAAAGAAAGUCAUCUUUCCAAGCAAGGGUGUCUCCUUGCCCAGGGUGUCUGCCAGCAUAUUAUCAAGAACUGGUGCCACAAAAAUGUUUGAGUUGCUCAACACACUCCCAAAGUUAACACUGAAGAAAAAUAUUUCUUUCUUAAUGAAUGUUAAGUCUACACCCUGCCUCAUUUCAUCUGCAAAAUGAAACUAAGAUCUUAGGAUGGCUGCCUGGGGAAGUUCUGGGCCUGUCAUUUGAGAAGCUUUGCCAUCUGGCUCUAGAAGUGAUUCAUAGUCGGAUCCUGCAUGAUGUCAAAAUGUUGAAAAAAUUAUAAAAAC
rnacentral:lncRNA from 1 species